rnacentral:lncRNA from 1 species
UUCCUUCCUUUAUGCUUGAGUGUGGUGUCAUCCUAGCCUCUCAUUGUGUCCUCCACUCCACGAAAAGGUGGUUGCAUCAAUGACCCACCUCGAUAAAAUAAUGACUUGGUGGGUGUUUAUGGCACUAUCAAUGAAUAACCAUAUAAUGUUGCAAAAUCCAGAUACGUUUGCAUUGACCUGGGUAUCAAUACUUGCAUUGAUGACGAUAUUAGUGUCGCCAUUGGUGUCAC